GAUGAGCGCUAGCGAUUGGCUUAACACAUGCAAGUCGAGGGGCAUCACGAAUUAGCAAUAGUUUGGUGGCGACCGGCGCACGGGUGCGUAACACAUAUACAACCUACCUUCAAUUGGGGAAUAACCUGGAGAAAUUUGGACUAAUACCCCAUAGUAAGCAGAGGAGGCAUCUUUUUUGUUUUAAAGAUUUAUUGAUUGGAGAUGGGUAUGCGUAGGAUUAGCUAGUUGGUAAGGUAACGGCUUACCAAGGCAACGAUCCUUAGGGGUUCUGAGAGGAAGGUCCCCCACACUGGUACUGAGACACGGACCAGACUCCUACGGGAGGCAGCAGUGAGGAAUAUUGGUCAAUGGUCGAGAGACUGAACCAGCCAAGUCGCGUGAAGGAAGACGGCUCUAUGAGUUGUAAACUUCUUUUGUACAGGAGUAAAGUGAGACACGUGUGUUUUAUUGCAAGUACUGUACG
rnacentral:rRNA from 1 species